rnacentral:rRNA from 1 species
AACGCGAAGAACCUUACCAGCCCUUGACAUCCCGGUCGCGGGAACGAGAGAUCGAUCCCUUCAGUUCGGCUGGACCGGAGACAGGUGCUGCAUGGCUGUCGUCAGCUCGUGUCGUGAGAUGUUGGGUUAAGUCCCGCAACGAGCGCAACCCUCGCCCUUAGUUGCCAUCAUUUAGUUGGGCACUCUAAGGGGACUGCCGGUGAUAAGCCGCGAGGAAGGUGGGGAUGACGUCAAGUCCUCAUGGCCCUUACGGGCUGGGCUACACACGUGCUACAAUGGCGGUGACAAUGGGAUGCAGAGGGGCAACCCCGAGCAAAUCUCAAAAAGCCGUCUCAGUUCGGAUUGUGCUCUGCAACUCGAGCACAUGAAGUUGGAAUCGCUAGUAAUCGCAGAUCAGCACGCUGCGGUGAAUACGUUCCCGGGCCUUGUA